rnacentral:rRNA from 1 species
AUGCAGAUGCAGAGCUACUUGCAGAUGGCGGAGGAGCCAGAGAAGGAGCAUAAGAAGAUGCUCGACAAGCUCUCCCACCAAGCCGAUGAUAUGAAGGGAUCGUACAAGAAGUUAAUGACAUAGGUGCAGUCGUCUUCAUCUCGUGGUACUGUAGCGAUGGAUCAGAGACAUCUAUCUUCUGAAUAUUACUUCAUUUCAGUCGUCAAUUCAAGCUACUGUGAGUUAACGAUGGUUUGGUAUAUGAGUUGGUAUCACUUCUUCUGUUUCGAAAUAGACAUAUGA